UUUUUUUUUCAAGAAUGUCUCAUGACAGUGAUGUAAGCGAGUGCGACGUUCGUGGCAACAGCUGUGUAACUCCCAAAAUGACAACACAGGCACAGCUUCUUCAAGACGGGCGCUUCGCUGCAUUUAUUGAACACCGUGAAAACUAUAAACAUAAAACUCAAAGGCUUUAAGUGCUUCAGUCUAUCAGAAAUAACACUUGUGCUUUAACAACAAAAACUUACCUCGUGGCCGCCUGCCACUUCGGAGGUCCUAGAAGAAUACCUUUACAGUCUUGCGGAUUCUAAAUUAAAACAUAAAAUAAUUAGAACACCGUACAUUACAAAUUUUCACAAUAUUACAAUACAGUUAUAGCAAAUGACAAAUACCUUGUACAGCUGGUAGACUAAACAGGGCUUUGCCAAUAGCUCGCUGAACUCCUUAGUGUGAUUAUUAAACGUGGGCUCACAGCCUAUAUUAUCAAACCUCGCAAUAAUAGCGGUGUAACAAAACUUGUUCUUUGUGACAAGAUAAACACACCUUUACAAUAUUGACCACAGAAAUGUACAAGCAAGAACAUUUUAACUGCUGGAACCAUCUAUUAAACUUCUUUAUGCAUAAGCCAUUUCUGUGACACUUACACUCCCACCAAAAUCACUCAUUGUUUGCAAUGUGACUUUCUAAUGUGUCAACAUUAAAGUCUGGUUCACUUUCCAUGUCAGUCUCCAGUAAAGUCACUACCUUGUGAAUAGGUCUUUCCAGAUAUAUCAGCCUUGUCAGUGCUUUUCCCCUGUCAAAGGUAGUUUCGCUGGUCUUGAGCUUCACCUUUCGAACCUUGCCAUCUGGGCUCUCUAUAGCCUCUACUAUUAGAGCAAGUUUCCAUUUACAUCUUGGAGCAUUAUCAUCCUGCAGUAUCACAAUGUCAUUUACUCGCAGGUUUCGUGAGACGUUCUGCCAUUUCCUUCGCCGCUGGAAAUUUAACAGAUACUCUCGCCUCCACCUUUGCCAAAACUCAUUUGCUAGAAAUUGUACUCUCUUCUAUCUUUUGUUCAAGUACAAAUCCUCUCUGCAAAACUCUCCUGGAGGUGGAACAAUAACUGAAGAUUUCAUCGUUAAUAUGUGAUUGGGAGUUAAUGGCUCUGGUCCCAAGGGAUUGUUGAGAUACUCAACAAGGUCUGCUGUUAAUGAUGGCCAUUGUCUCGUAAAGCAGUGUUCUUAGACUAGCUGUAUCGAGUCUGUUUCAGAACUUGUCCAGCAUCGCUGUCAGUACACUUCGUACUGUUUGAAUUUGAUGUUCCCAGAUGCCCCCCAUGUGGCUAGCUGCCGGAACGUUCACCACAAAUUCACAACCAAUAGCUCUUUGUGGUUCUUGAUCCAUAUCCUUCAUUAGCUCCAAAAAUUCUCUUUUGGCGCCCAUAAAGUUUGUCCCUUGGUCAUGUGGCAGGAUGAAUGUUAUUCCUUGGUUCAACCCACUUUCAGCCUGGCGCAUUAGGGGGCGCUAGUAUAAAUAGUGGCCAUUUGAGCAUUCCUGGAUCGCUUACCUGUGAUCUCCUUUUUGGUCACCUGACUUCCCUUUGGUGUUGCAGAGAUCAUUCUGAAGCCUCCAUCGCGACUGGUCAUAGCUGUAGAAGCCUCCUAUGAGCCACUCUGCUCAUGUUUCAUGACGCGGUUUACUUGGUACGUAAUUCAAUUUUGUUACGAUCUCUGCCUUUUAUUGUUCUUUUAUAGUAAUUACUUAUUAUGCUUUGCAGGAAGUGUGGGCCUUAGUUUUACGCAACGCUACGCUAGCUGAAGUGCUGCUGCUUUGCUUUGCUUUGCUUUUACCGUCUGUUCCCGUUGCGAGGUUUCUCUUCCUGCUGCUGCCAGCUUUUUAAAGUGGACGUCGGCGUGGACAGCGGCCAUAUGCAUGCCGGUUAUGGGAAUCAGCUGGUGUACAUAUUAAUUGACCGGAUGAUUAACUUAUAGUUGGGCAGGCGGCAAGUUGGAGCAACACGGCGAUUCCAUUUGCUCCAGAUUUUAACGUUUUAUCCAGAUUGUACGUUGUUUUUCUGUUGUUUUGAUUUGUAGUUUGGAUUUUUGUUACGCCACUGGUGGGAGGCCCUUUUUCUAGCUGAAGAUCACCAGUGUGGUCCUGCAGUUGGGUUAUCCCCCGGUGCUACAUUAGUUUUGUUGUAAUAUAUUAAAAUUUUCUUUGUUCCUUUAUUCAGAUGCGGAGUGCCGACAUGGAGUAGACUAGGGUGCCUUGGUGGUGGGAUCCUUUGAGUGUACACACCUGCCUCGUUUAGUUCAUUAGUGUGAGCGUGUGAUUUUGUGUUGCACUUGUAUCUUGGUGUGUUUCUUUUUUUGAGUUUGUGCGUGGCAUCCCUGCCCCUCCACUGGUAAGCCUCAGCUCUGAAUACCUUUUUAAGCAUAUUUGUACAUGGAUAUUUAUGAUUGUGCUUUUAUAUGGUGUUUUAAAUGAUUAUUAAUAAAUUGUCAACUUGUUUUA